GCGUGCUAAUCUGCGAUAAGCGCCGGUAAGGUGAUAUGAACCGUUAUAACCGGCGAUACCCGAAUGGGGAAACCCAGUGUGACUCGUCACACUAUCAUUAACUGAAUCCAUAGGUUAAUGAGGCGAACCGGGGGAACUGAAACAUCUAAGUACCCCGAGGAAAAGAAAUCAACCGAGAUUCCCCCAGUAGCGGCGAGCGAACGGGGAGGAGCCCAGAGCCUGAAUCAGCAUGUGUGUUAGUGGAAGCGUCUGGAAAGGCGCGCGAUACAGGGUGACAGCCCCGUACACAAAAGCGCAUGUGCUGUGAGCUCGAUGAGUAGGGCGGGACACGUGGUAUCCUGUCUGAAUAUGGGGGGACCAUCCUCCAAGGCUAAAUACUCCUGACUGACCGAUAGUGAACCAGUACCGUGAGGGAAAGGCGAAAAGAACCCCGGCGAGGGGAGUGAAAAAGAACCUGAAACCGUGUACGUACAAGCAGUGGGAGCCCCACCACCAAAGCAUUUGCUGUACCGCGUUGACGGAGCGAAGCGACGUCAAACCGAUAAAACAGCAGUGUAAAGUGAGCCGCAGGGCGCUUUGCGCGACAGCGCAAAGGCAGGCGGUUUCGCGUAGCGAAAGCGAAUGCUUUGGGGUGGGGUGACUGCGUACCUUUUGUAUAAUGGGUCAGCGACUUAUAUUCUGUAGCAAGGUUAACCGAAUAGGGGAGCCGGAGGGAAACCGAGUCUUAAUUGGGCGUUAAGUUGCAGGGUAUAGACCCGAAACCCGGUGAUCUAGCCAUGGGCAGGUUGAAGGUUGGGUAACACUAACUGGAGGACCGAACCGACUAAUGUUGAAAAAUUAGCGGAUGACCUGUGGCUGGGGGUGAAAGGCCAAUCAAACCGGGAGAUAGCUGGUUCUCCCCGAAAGCUAUUUAGGUAGCGCCUCGUGAAUUCAUCUCCGGGGGUAGAGCACUGUUUCGGCUAGGGGGCCAUCCCGGCUUACCAACCCGAUGCAAACUGCGAAUACCGGAGAAUGUUAUCACGGGAGACACACGGCGGGUGCUAACGUCCGUCGUGAAGAGGGAAACAACCCAGACCGCCAGCUAAGGUCCCAAAGUCAUGGUUAAGUGGGAAACGAUGUGGGAAGGCCCAGACAGCCAGGAUGUUGGCUUAGAAGCAGCCAUCAUUUAAAGAAAGCGUAAUAGCUCACUGGUCGAGUCGGCCUGCGCGGAAGAUGUAACGGGGCUAAACCAUGCACCGAAGCUGCGGCAGCGACACUGUGUGUUGUUGGGUAGGGGAGCGUUCUGUAAGCCUGUGAAGGUGUGUCGUGAGGCAUGCUGGAGGUAUCAGAAGUGCGAAUGCUGACAUAAGUAACGAUAAAGCGGGUGAAAAGCCCGCUCGCCGGAAGACCAAGGGUUCCUGUCCAACGUUAAUCGGGGCAGGGUGAGUCGACCCCUAAGGCGAGGCCGAAAGGCGUAGUCGAUGGGAAACGGGUUAAUAUUCCCGUACUUGGUGUUACUGCGAAGGGGGGACGGAGAAGGCUAUGUUGGCCGGG
rnacentral:rRNA from 1 species